UCCGAGUUGUCCCCGGCAGUCUCCUUAGAGUCCCCGGCAUUACCCGCUGGCAACUAAGGACAGGGGUUGCGCUCGUUGCGGCACUUAAGCCAACACCUCACGGCACGAGCUGACGACAACCAUGCACCACCUGUAUAGGACGCCGAAGCACACCAUAUCUCUAUGGCUUUUCCCUAUAUUUCAAGCCCUGGUAAGGUUCUUCGCGUUGCGUCGAAUUAAGCCACAUGCUCCGCCGCUUGUGCGGGCCCCCGUCAAUUCCUUUGAGUUUUAGCCUUGCGGCCGUACUCCCCAGGCGGGGUGCUUAAUGCGUUAGCUUCGGCACGGAAAGGGUCAAUACUCCCCACACCUAGCACCCAACGUUUACGGCUGGGACUAC
rnacentral:misc_RNA from 1 species